rnacentral:rRNA from 1 species
GAACGCUGGCGGCAGGCCUAACACAUGCAAGUCGAGCGGUAACAGAAAGAAAGCUUGCUUUCUUUGCUGACGAGCGGCGGACGGGUGAGUAAUGCCUGGGAACAUGCCUUAGUGUGGGGGAUAACUAUUGGAAACGAUAGCUAAUACCGCAUAACGUCUUCGGACCAAAGAGGGGGACCUUCGGGCCUCUCGCGCUAAGAUUAGCCCAGGUGGGAUUAGCUAGUUGGUGAGGUAAAGGCUCACCAAGGCAACGAUCCCUAGCUGGUCUGAGAGGAUGAUCAGCCACACUGGAACUGAGACACGGUCCAGACUCCUACGGGAGGCAGCAGUGGGGAAUAUUGCACAAUGGGGGAAACCCUGAUGCAGCCAUGCCGCGUGUAUGAAGAAGGCCUUCGGGUUGUAAAGUACUUUCAGUCGUGAGGAAGGCAUUGUAGUUAAUAGCUGCAGUGCUUGACGUUAGCGACAGAAGAAGCACCGGCUAACUCCGUG